rnacentral:rRNA from 1 species
AGAGUUUGAUCAUGGCUCAGGAUGAACGCUGGCGGCGUGCCUAACACAUGCAAGUCGAACGGGAAUCUUCGGAUUCUAGUGGCGGACGGGUGAGUAACGCGUAAGAAUCUAACUUCAGGACGGGGACAACAGUUGGAAACGACUGCUAAUACCCGAUGUGCCGCAAGGUGAAACCUAAUUGGCCUGAAGAAGAGCUUGCGUCUGAUUAGCUAGUUGGUGGGGUAAAGGCCUACCAAGGCGACGAUCAGUAGCUGGUCUGAGAGGAUGAGCAGCCACACUGGGACUGAGACACGGCCCAGACUCCUACGGGAGGCAGCAGUGGGGAAUUUUCCGCAAUGGGCGAAAGCCUGACGGAGCAACGCCGCGUGAGGGAGGAAGGUCUUUGGAUUGUAAACCUCUUUUCUCAAGGAAGAAGUUCUGACGGUACUUGAGGAAUCAGCCUCGGCUAACUCCGUGCCAGCAGCCGCGGUAAUACGGGGGAGGCAAGCGUUAUCCGGAAUUAUUGGGCGUAAAGCGUCCGCAGGUGGUCAGCCAAGUCUGCCGUCAAAUCAGGUUGCUUAACGACCUAAAGGCGGUGGAAACUGGCAGACUAGAGAGCAGUAGGGGUAGCAGGAAUUCCCAGUGUAGCGGUGAAAUGCGUAGAGAUUGGGAAGAACAUCGGUGGCGAAAGCGUGCUACUGGGCUGUAUCUGACACUCAGGGACGAAAGCUAGGGGAGCGAAAGGGAUUAGAUACCCCUGUAGUCCUAGCCGUAAACGAUGGAUACUAGGCGUGGCUUGUAUCGACCCGAGCCGUGCCGAAGCUAACGCGUUAAGUAUCCCGCCUGGGGAGUACGCACGCAAGUGUGAAACUCAAAGGAAUUGACGGGGGCCCGCACAAGCGGUGGAGUAUGUGGUUUAAUUCGAUGCAACGCGAAGAACCUUACCAAGACUUGACAUGUCGC